AGUGAACGCUGGCGGUAGGCCUAACACAUGCAAGUCGAACGGCAGCACAGUAAGAGCUUGCUCUUACGGGUGGCGAGUGGCGGACGGGUGAGGAAUACAUCGGAAUCUACUUUUUCGUGGGGGAUAACGUAGGGAAACUUACGCUAAUACCGCAUACGACCUACGGGUGAAAGCAGGGGAUCUUCGGACCUUGCGCGAUUGAAUGAGCCGAUGUCGGACUAGCUAGUUGGCGGGGUAAAGGCCCACCAAGGCGACGAUCCGUAGCUGGUCGGAGAGGAUGAUCGGCCACACUGGAACUGAGACACGGACCAGACUCCUACGAGAGGCAGCAGUGGGGAAUGGUAGGCAAUGGGCGCAAGCCUGACCCAGCCAGCCCGCGUGGGUGAAGAAGGCGUUGGGGUCGUAAAGCCCUUUUGUGGGGAAAAAAAAGCAGCAGGUUAAUACCCCGCUGUUCUGACGGUACCCAAUAAAUAAGCACCGGCUAACUACGUG
rnacentral:rRNA from 1 species